CACUCGAGCUCUGUUCUCUCGAAUCUCUCUCAAACCCUAACUCCAACUUUCCUGAUCGUAUUGAAACUCUCUUCUCUGAUGGGUUCGAAGCUUUCUUCCCUAAAUCUCGUUGUGCCUCUUUGAGAAAUCUCGUUCACCACUGUCGUUUGGCCUCUGUGGUUCCGUGUGCUAGUCUUCGUUAGGGACCGAGGCAUAUACCGGUUGGUGUUGCGAAGCCCUUAAUGAAGGAACCAGAGAAAAGGUGUUGUUAUUUCACUUUGACACGUCAACAAAAGCUUUCUAUAAGGGGGUUGAAACCUGGAAAAAGGAAACCAUAAUGGAAAAGGCAACCAUCCAACAGUUCUGGCGCUGAAGUGGAAUACAAGCCUCUUCCAAGUGGACCAAAUGGUGUCCCUGUGAAGGACCUCUAGAGUGUCACCAUUGAACAUGAGGAAAACUAUACGACAACUUGUUCAACAUGGUAUUGGGUACUAAACUUGUUACAGGUGUAGGUGAAAUGACAGCAAGAAUGAGACUAAGCUAGACUGUGAUACGGAGAUUAUGAGAGUGAGAGAGAUUAUGUCAAUUAAAGACAGGAAAAUGAAGUGACAGUUAAGAAAACAGGAAUGAAUCAAAGGGUGUUUGUGGUGUAUCGCCAUGUUCUUGCAAUGCAACCAUUGUAAUUGCUCCAAUAGCUUAUUUCACACGCAGAAAUUCUUGCUCCUAUUACUUAAAUAGUAGAAAUUCGCUCUCCUAUUACUUAAAUUUGAAGAGUUCCUC